AACGAACGCUGGCGGCAUGCCUAACACAUGCAAGUCGAACGAGAUCUUCGGGUCUAGUGGCGCACGGGUGCGUAACGCGUGGGAAUCUGCCCUUUGGUUCGGAAUAACAGUUGGAAACGACUCCUAAUACCGGAUGAUGACGAAAGUCCAUAGAUUUAUCGCCAGAGGAUGAGCCCGCUUAGGAUUAGCUAGUUGGUGAGGUAAAGGCGCACCAAGGCGACCAUCCUUAGCUGGUCCGAGAGGAUGAUCAGCCACACUGGGACUGAGACACGGCACAGACUCCUACGGGAGGCAGCAGUGGGGAAUAUUGGACAAUGGGCUAAAGCCUGAUCCCGCAAUGCCGCGUGAGAGAUGAAGGCCUUAGGGUUGUAAAGCUCUUUUCCCCGGGAUGAUAAUGACAGUCCCGGGAGAAUAAGCUCCGGCUAACUCCGUGCCAGCCGCCGCCGUAA
rnacentral:rRNA from 1 species